rnacentral:piRNA from 1 species
GUAGCUAGAAUACAGCAGGUGCUCCA